rnacentral:rRNA from 1 species
UCCAAUAGCGUAUAUUAAAGUUGUUGCAGUUGAAAAGCUCGUAGUUGAAUUUCGGGGUUAGUAGGUUGGUCAUGCCUCUGGUAUGUACUGGUCUCACUGAUUCCUCCUUCUUUAUGAACCGUGAUGCCAUUAAUUUGGUGUUGCGGGGAAUUUGGACUGUUACUUUGAAAAAAUUAGAGUGUUUAAAGCAAGCUAACGCUUGAAUACAUUAGCAUGGAAUAAUGAAAUAGGACGUUCGAUCUUAUUUUGUUGGUUUCUAGGAUUGACGUAAUGAUUAAUAGGGAUAGUUGGGGGCAUUAGUAUUCAAUUGUCAGAGGUGAAAUUCUUGGAUUUAUUGAAGACUAACUACUGCGAAAGCAUUUGCCAAGGAUGUUUUCAUUAAUCAAGAACGAAAGUUAGGGGAUCGAAGACGAUCAGAUACCGUCGUAGUCUUAACCAUAAACUAUGCCGACUAGGGAUCGGAUGAUGUUAAUUUUUUAAUGACUCAUUCGGCGCCUUACGGGAAAC